AUUUUAAAAAUGGAGAGUGAGAAAUCCAGAAUCCCUGUCUACAGUUGCCAGCACUCCAAAGUGACUGGUGUAUCAAAAGAUGCUUUAUGCUGUGAAAGACAGGUCUUGCUCCAGUCAAAAAAGCAGUGUCUUAAAGUGACUCAUAAAAAAGUUCCUGAUCUUGUGUUUGACGAAAAUAAUCCUGUAUGUGUUCCUUUCAAAGAUACAAAUCAAUGGCUUAUGAAAUCAGCUAAAAAAGCCCCAGUGGCAACUGCACGAAGUCCUAUGAACAAAUACAAACAGGGUGCUGACCUCAGGAAAAGGAACAAGUGGUUGGAAACAUCGAGAUGUGAACUGAAUUCAAAAUUGAUGCAAAUGCAGGUAGGGAAUAAUUUAAGCCCUGGUUAUCUGCUGGGGAACGUGAGUUUGGGAUACAGCAAUUCUGCACUUAUCGUACAUAUUUGUGCACUUCCCAGUGACAUCUAG
rnacentral:lncRNA from 1 species